rnacentral:rRNA from 1 species
AUUGAACGCUGGCGGCAGGCCUAAUACAUGCAAGUCGAGCGAGCGGCGGACGGGUGAGUAAUGUCUGGGUAACCGCCUGAUGGAGGGGGAUAACUAAUGGAAAAGGUUGCUAAUACCGCAUUCCACUUGAUGUGCCCAGAGGGGAUUAGCUAGUUGGUGGGGUAACGGCUCAACUAGGCGACGAUCCCUAGCUGGGCGGAGAGGAUGACCAGCCAAACUGGAACGGAGACACGGUCCAGCCUCCUACGGGAGGCAGCAGUGGGGAAUAUUGCACAAGGGGCGAAGGCCGGAUGCAGCCAGGCCGCGUGUGGGAAGAAGGCCUUCGGGUUGUAAAGCACUUUCAGCGGGGAGGCGUUACCCGCAGAAGAAGCACCGGCUAACUCCGUGCCAGCAGCCGCGGUAAUAC